AUGACAAGUCUCUAUUCUUUUAUUAAAGGGUUUAAAUUUGUCAUCAUAUAUGCUUGCCCGCUACUAAAACAACUAAAACAUGGAAUUUCUUUUCAUGUUGAACAUGGAUUUAGUGGGUCUCUGUGCUAUUUGUUACCCAGCCGACGAACCGAGAAAGAAAGGAAGGGGAUAGACAGUCUUUGCUCGCUCCGCCCCCGCUGCUUCUUAUUCAGCUCCUCACGGGCCACAGUCAUCGCUCUACGAAAAAUAUGCAUGGCGAGGUUUCUCAUCAUGAUAACCAUGUUUCCAAACUUCCUAAAAAAUACAACCAUGCCAACUUUACUUUCUCAUCAUAGUGCCCAUAUUUUCAAACUGAGCAUAUUCAAUUAUGCAAAGUUUCCCUUUUCCCAUGCUAUUAUUUAA
rnacentral:rRNA from 1 species